AGGACGAACGCUGGCGGCGUGCUUAACACAUGCAAGUCGAGGGCACUUUGGGGGCAACUCUGGAGUGACCGGCGAACGGGUGCGUAACACGUGAGCGACCUUGCCUCGUGGUGGGGGAUAGCCGGCCCAACGGCCGGGUAAUACCGCAUAGGGUGGUCUUUUCGCAUGGAGAGACUAGCAAAGCCCUGGAGCAAUCCAGUGGCGCCACAGGGGGGGCUCGCGGCCUAUCAGCUAGUUGGGGGGGUAAUGGCCCACCAAGGCGACGACGGGUAGC
rnacentral:rRNA from 1 species